CAUGAAUCACUUUUGCAGCCACCCCCUCUCUUCCGCAUUCAGGCGGUAACCUUUACAAUAUUAUGAUAAUUGUAAACAACUGUCUUGAAACAAAUGGUAGAAGCAACAUGCCCAGACUGUGUCUUAAUUUGUUUCUUUUACCUUCAUGGACAUUUGAAUUCUGUUUGGUCAGGAAGGCACUUGAUUUGAUUUUAUCAGACUCAGAGGGAACAGCAAAAGGAUGUAGUAACGAAUGCCCCUUGGCUGCCCGAGUAAGGAUUCUGUCUCUCAAGUUCCUAUCCCUGAGCUCCAGUUGCACGGAUUGAACAUUCUUUUCCAUGAUGAGAAAUCCUCACCAUGACUAUCGGUUUUGUCUACAUGAUAUGGCAGAGUUGAAAAAAUGUAUCAAGUACACUACAAACACACUAAAUUUUUUGUGGGGCAUUUAGAAAUUUAAAAAUAAACAUCUUUAUUUUUUGUAUCAUUGGAAUACUGACUCCAGCAGUCCUGUAUUUGAUAACAUAUUCACAUGCUCAUACAAUGCACAUGUCUGGAAUGAAAUGCCUGAUCUUGCUAGAUACCUUCAAGAUAUUAUCAAAAUACAGGUGACUUCCCUCAGGAUUAAAAAAGUUCACAUAUUUUAGAAAUUCUUAUAAAGCUUGUUAAAGUUCAUGUUACCACUAUGUGCUUCUGUGCUGCUCUGUGGGUUGGGAUACUGAGGAGGCAAAAAGAGCCCCUUGGGUCUCUUCUAAGAGGAGCGAGUGUGGGAAGCAUAGAUUUAGGACCAACCAAGUAUUACCACAUUUACUCUUGAGCUGCUACACACCUGGUACCGAGUACCUUGACAGGUGACAGAGCCAGAAUUCUCAGCUGUGAAGGCUGUUAAUUGAAGUGUAGUCAGGAGCACUGUGGAAUAGCACUGGGAGGCAACAAGGAUGCUGAAUCAUACUCACCAUUAAUGAAAAACUGAGCAUUGCAAAAUCAAUGUAGCAAGGCCAUUUGGAAGUAUUUCCCCCUUCUCAUGGCUAUGUUUUAACGGUAUGCUUGUUGAUAUUGGGGCCAGGAGCUGGCCAGAAGAGCACAUGAGGUGGGCUGCGAGCAAAGCUCAUUUAAUAUAAUAAUUGCAAAUAAUGUUUUGCAAAUAUAGUGUUUCUUUUAUUCAAAACAUUCUUGCUAGCAGUUCCUGGGUUGUGUGUGUACUUGUAGUUCACAGCUACUGUCUGAAUAGUAUAGAUGAGCAUGAGCAGUGCUCAUCCUAUAGAUUGCUCAUAAACCAUUUGGUUUGCUUAUUUGCUAUCCAUGCUGUAAGUGGCCACAGUUUUCUUUCUGCUCCUUGAGAGGAGGGCUGCAGCAUUUCAAACAAAAGAAUAAUGAACAACAAAUGAUGAAUGGUGAAUAACAAAUACUUUUGCUCGUUCAUAAGUGCCCUUGUUUGCUUAUGAUUGCAUGCAAUUUUGUAUAAAAAGCAGCCACCUCCUAAAUAUGUAUGUGUAGAAAAGCCCCUUCACAUGAAUAUUCUUGAAUAGCAAAUAAUGCUGAAUGAGUCAAAUACAGGCCCCAAAUUUGAAUGAAUGUUUGUGAGCAGUAUUCUCUCAGCACUAGUAGCAUACACAUAAGGAACUAUGGGCAGAAUAACUCCUAUUUGAAGCUAAAUGGAUUUGUGUCCCAGCCAUUUGCCAAUCAUUUAAAAUCUGCAUGUAAUAUUUAACCAUAAUUCUGCUGAAUCAUAUAAGGUAACUUAUAUUUCAUAAUUUAAACAUCCUCUAGAUAAAUAUAUGU